rnacentral:rRNA from 1 species
CUACGGGCGGCUGCAGUGGGGAAUAUUGCACAAUGGGCGCAAGCCUGAUGCAGCCAUGCCGCGUGUAUGAAGAAGGCCUUCGGGUUGUAAAGUACUUUCAGCGGGGAGGAAGGGAGUAAAGUUAAUACCUUUGCUCACUGACGUUACCCGCAGAAGAAGCACCGGCUAAGUCCGUGCCAGCAGCCGCGGUAAUACGGAGGGUGCAAGCGUUAAUCGGAAUUACUGGGCGUAAAGCGCACGCAGGCGGUUUGUUAAGUCAGAUGUGAAAUCCCCGGGCUCAACCUGGGAACUGCAUCUGAUACUGGCAAGCUUGAGUCUCGUAGAGGGGGGUAGAAUUCCAGGUGUAGCGGUGAAAUGCGUAGAGAUCUGGAGGAAUACCGGUGGCGAAGGCGGCCCCCUGGACGAAGACUGACGCUCAGGUGCGAAAGCGUGGGGAGCAAACAGGAUUAGAUACCCGUGUAGUC